UGGGGAAUAUUGCACAAUGGAGGGAACUCUGAUGCAGCGACGCCGCGUGAACGAAGAAUGCUUUCGUGUCGUAAAGUUCUUUUAUAUGGGAAGAUAAUGACGGUACCAUAAGAAAAAGCCCCGGCUAACUACGUGCCAGCAGCCGCGGUAAUACGUAGGGGGCUAGCGUUGUCCGGAAUCACUGGGCGUAAAGGGUUCGCAGGCGGAAAUGCAAGUCAGGUGUAAAAGGCAGUAGCUUAACUACUGUAAGCAUUUGAAACUGCAUAUCUUGAGAAGAGUAGAGGUAAGUGGAAUUUUUAGUGUAGCGGUGAAAUGCGUAGAUAUUAAAAAGAAUAACAGUGGCGAAGGCGACUUACUGGGCUCAUUCUGACGCUGAGGAACGAAAGGGUGGGGAGCAAACAGA
rnacentral:rRNA from 1 species